GGCCGAAAGGCGUAGUCGAUGGGAAACAGGUUAAUAUUCCUGUACUUGGUGUUACUGCGAAGGGGGGACGGAGAAGGCUAUGUUGGCCGGGCGACGGUUGUCCCGGUUUAAGCGUGUAGGCUGGUUUUCCAGGCAAAUCCGGAAAAUCAAGGCUGAGGCGUGAUGACGAGGCACUACGGUGCUGAAGCAACAAAUGCCCUGCUUCCAGGAAAAGCCUCUAAGCAUCAGGUAACAUCAAAUCGUACCCCAAACCGACACAGGUGGUCAGGUAGAGAAUACCAAGGCGCUUGAGAGAACUCGGGUGAAGGAACUAGGCAAAAUGGUGCCGUAACUUCGGGAGAAGGCACGCUGAUAUGUAGGUGAAGCGACUUGCUCGUGGAGCUGAAAUCAGUCGAAGAUACCAGCUGGCUGCAACUGUUUAUUAAAAACACAGCACUGUGCAAACGCGAAAGUGGACGUAUACGGUGUGACGCCUCCCCGGUGCCGGAAGGUUAAUUGAUGGGGUCAGCGCAAGCGAAGCUCUUGAUCGAAGCCCCGGUAAACGGCGGCCGUAACUAUAACGGUCCUAAGGUAGCGAAAUUCCUUGUCGGGUAAGUUCCGACCUGCACGAAUGGCGUAAUGAUGGCCAGGCUGUCUCCACCCGAGACUCAGUGAAAUUGAACUCGCUGUGAAGAUGCAGUGUACCCGCGGCAAGACGGAAAGACCCCGUGAACCUUUACUAUAGCUUGACACUGAACAUUGAGCCUUGAUGUGUAGGAUAGGUGGGAGGCUUUGAAGUGUGGACGCCAGUCUGCAUGGAGCCGACCUUGAAAUACCACCCUUUAAUGUUUGAUGUUCUAACGUGGACCCGUGAUCCGGGUUGCGGACAGUGUCUGGUGGGUAGUUUGACUGGGGCGGUCUCCUCCUAAAGAGUAACGGAGGAGCACGAAGGUUGGCUAAUCCUGGUCGGACAUCAGGAGGUUAGUGCAAUGGCAUAAGCCAGCUUGACUGCGAGCGUGACGGCGCGAGCAGGUGCGAAAGCAGGUCAUAGUGAUCCGGUGGUUCUGAAUGGAAGGGCCAUCGCUCAACGGAUAAAAGGUACUCCGGGGAUAACAGGCUGAUACCGCCCAAGAGUUCAUAUCGACGGCGGUGUUUGGCACCUCGAUGUCGGCUCAUCACAUCCUGGAGCUGAAGUAGGUCCCAAGGGUAUGGCUGUUCGCCAUUUAAAGUGGUACGCGAGCUGGGUUUAGAACGUCGUGAGACAGUUCGGUCCCUAUCUGCCGUGGGCGCUGGAGAACUGAGGGGGGCUGCUCCUAGUACGAGAGGACCGGAGUGGACGCAUCACUGGUGUUCGGGUUGUCAUGCCAAUGGCACUGCCCGGUAGCUAAAUGCGGAAGAGAUAAGUGCUGAAAGCAUCUAAGCACGAAACUUGCCCCGAGAUGAGUUCUCCCUGACUCCUUGAGAGUCCUGAAGGAACGUUGAAGACGACGACGUUGAUAGGCCGGGUGUGUAAGCGCAGCGAUGCGUUGAGCUAACCGGUACUAAUGAACCGUGAGGCUUAACCUU
rnacentral:rRNA from 1 species